rnacentral:rRNA from 1 species
GAUUAUGGCUCAGGAUGAACGCUGGCGGCGUGCCUAAUACAUGCAAGUCGAACGGAGAAUGUAGUAAUACGUUCUUAGUGGCGAACGGGUGAGUAACGGCGUUGGUGACCUGCCCCGAAGUGAGGGAUAACAGUUCGAAAGGACUGCUAAUACCCCAUGUGGUUGUUGAGGUUAGAGACUCGAUAACUAAAGGAGUAAUCCGCUACGGGAGGGACCUGCGUCCCAUCAGCUAGUUGGUAGGGUAAUGGCUUACCAAGGCGAUGACGGGUAGGGGACCUGAGAGGGUGGCCCCCCACAAUGGAACUGAAACACGGUCCAUACACCUACGGGUGGCAGCAGUAGGGAAUAUUGCUUAAUGGGCGAAAGCCUGAAGCAGCAACGCCGCGUGUACGAUGAAGGCCUUCGGGUUGUAAAGUACUUUUUGGAGGGAUGAGGAAGGACAGUACCUUCAGAAUAAGCCUCGGCUAACUACGUGCCAGCCGCCGC